ACAGGUGACACAGACACAACCUGCACGCCAAUACCAGAAAAUACUACUUUCCUAGAUGGAGUGCCACCCAAAAAGCCAAAAGGUAAUGCUAUUUUCUCUUAGAUGUUCUCUAAUAAAAGAUCUGCAUUGAAUUCAGUAAGUAAGAGGUGUGUUUUCUAUCUGUCAAUAGUUGUACACACACGCCGCAGAAAACGCAGCAAUUCAACUGGUAAUAGAAAAGGUAAAAGAACUGUCUACUUAUUUAAAAAAGGAAGGAAGCAUAUAUUUGUGAUAACUGAGUAUCUCAGUCUAAUAAACCACAAGUAAACUGAAAGUUGCUAACUGCUAACCGAAAGCCUAAUGUAUUGCAGCAACAGUGUGCCCUGAAAGUCCCUCAAACAGAAGUAUGCCCACCAUUACCCCUGAGAGUAGUUUCCAUCUGAGCUCAAACCCAUUCCAGCAUGUAUUACGUAUUCCCUUCAGCCCCCCUCUUCUGCCCCCUAGUGGAGGUUCACCACUACAAAUCAUCCAGACAAUCAGCCCUUAUACGCCGCCUCUAUUCGGCACUGUGGUUCCAACAGGGCCUACAUACGUGAUUGGUGAGUCUACUGUAAAAGUAUCAUUAAACAGCUGCAUGUGCCUGCAUGCUCU
rnacentral:lncRNA from 1 species